UACGUAGGGUGCAAGCGUUAAUCGGAAUUACUGGGCGUAAAGCGUGCGCAGGCGGUUGGUUAAGACAGAUGUGAAAUCCCCGGGCUCAACCUGGGAAUGGCAUUUGGGACUGCAAGGCUGGAGUGCGGCAGAGGAGACUGGAAUUCCUGGUGUAGCAGUGAAAUGCGUAGAUAUCAGGAGGAAUACCGAUGGCGAAGGCAGGUCUCUGGGCUGACACUGACGCUCAUGCACGAAAGCGUGGGGAGCAAACAGG
rnacentral:rRNA from 1 species